rnacentral:tRNA from 1 species
GGGCAUGUAGUGUAGUGGUUAUCGCGCCUCAUUUGCACGUUGGCGAGUUGAGGAGGUCCCCAGUUCAAUUCUGGGUUUGUCCA